AAUUGACGGGGGCCCGCACAAGCGGUGGAUUAUGUGGAUUAAUUCGAUGCAACGCGAAAAACCUUACCUGGCCUUGACAUGUACCGAAUUGAGCAGAGAUGUUCAAGUGCUCGAAAGAGAACGGUAACACAGGUGCUGCAUGGCUGUCGUCAGCUCGUGUCGUGAGAUGUUGGGUUAAGUCCCGCAACGAGCGCAACCCUUGCCAUUAAUUGCCAUCAUUUAGUUGGGCACUUUAAUGGGACUGCCGGUGACAAACCGGAGGAAGGUGGGGAUGACGUCAAGUCCUCAUGGCCCUUAUGGCCAGGGCUUCACACGUAAUACAAUGGUCGGUACAGAGGGUUGCCAACCCGCGAGGGGGAGCCAAUCCCAGAAAGCCGAUCGUAGUCCGGAUUGUAGUCUGCAACUCGACUGCAUGAAGUCGGAAUCGCUAGUAAUCGCGGAUCAGCAUGUCGCGGUGAAUACGUUCCCGGGCCUUGUACACACCGCCCGUCACACCAUGGGAGUGGGUUUUACCAGAAGUAGUUAGUCUAACCGCAAGGAAGACGAUUACCACGGUAGGAUUCAUGACUGGGGUGAAGUCGUAACAAGUAAC
rnacentral:rRNA from 1 species